UACAGAGGGGGCAAGCGUUGUUCGGAAUUACUGGGCGUAAAGGGCGCGUAGGCGGCCACCUCAGUCGGACGUGAAAUCCCCGGGCUCAACCCGGGAACUGCGUCCGAUACUGGGUGGCUAGAGUCCGGGAGAGGGAAGUGGAAUUCCAGGUGUAGCGGUGAAAUGCGUAGAUAUCUGGAGGAACACCGGUGGCGAAGGCGGCUUCCUGGACCGGAACUGACGCUGAGGCGCGAAAGCCAGGGGAGCAAACGGG
rnacentral:rRNA from 1 species